GUGCAUAUGGAGUGUAUUUGUUGUAAAGAACGAACCGUAAACAACAGGGAAAAAUUUUUGCUCUGCAUAAUAAGUAAUUAAUUAAGUAAAAAAUACUUAUUAGAACUAAUCCAACACACAUAAUCAAGAGAAUGAAAUGAAAAUCUGAAUAAGCAGUGGAUCGUAUAUUUAUUGAAUCUCGUGUUAUGUUGCGGCAUAUUUAACUACAAAGGAUAAGGCUUUGAAUUUUAUAAAAAAAACUACGGUCGAGGGUUAUUUUUGCGUGUUGCGAAAGGUAGGGGCGACUUCAAUGGUGUUUCCCUGGCAGUCACGAAAUAAUGCUAUUAAUCCCGGCACUACGAGCCGAUUGCUGGUGGCUAAGGCAUUUCUUAUUGGGACAUUUGCCUUUGGAACUAGAUGUUGUGAUGCAACAGCCACAGAUAUUGCUCUCGAUGCCAAGGCUACAUUGACGCAUAGGAUUGACAGUUUAAAUCUUUUGGUCUACACCUUCCUGCUUACCUUGACGGUCUUAACGAUAUGGUUGUUUAAGCACCAUCGAGUUUCCUGGCUCCAUGAGACGGGCCUCGCUGUGAUAUAUGGACUAAUUGUUGGUGCGGCAAUUCGAUAUUCCGGUUCAUCAACACCCUUAGUGCACUUGGAAGUAGAGCCGGAAUCUAAUUCAACAUUCAACCAAACAUUGCCACCUGAUACGCUAUGGCUAAAAUUUCCGGGGAAAUUAACUCCAAACGGCAGUGAUGCAGUUGAAGACAAAACAUAUGCCUACACUUUUCGUAGUCAAGUUUACGAUGUAGUCGAGAACGAAAUUGAUUUAAAAGCUACAUUUGAUCCUGAAAUAUUUUUUAAUAUUAUUUUACCACCAAUAAUAUUUCAUGCUGGGUACAGCCUAAAAAAGAAAUAUUUUUUCCGCAAUUUGGGCGCAAUUUUAACAUUCGCCAUACUGGGUACUACAUUAUCGGCGUUCCUAAUCGGUGCUCUUAUGUACGGUUUUGUGAAACUGAUGCCAACAUACUUGAGUAGCAGUUUCACAUUUCUGGACACGCUGUAUUUCGGAGCGUUGAUAUCACCAACAGAUCCACUAACAAUUCUGGCGAUUUUUCACGAUUUAAACGUUGAUGUGAACUUGUAUGCUUUGGUGUUUGGUGAAUCUGUUUUAAAUGAUGCUGUAGCAAUUGUUUUGAGUGGUGCGAUACAAAAUUAUGGAGAACAUUACUCUAGUACUGGAGAGUUUGAAACAUAUGCCUUUUUCCGAGCGCUAAGCGACUUUUUUGGUAUAUUUAUGCUGUCGUUACUGAUCGGCGCUCUAAUGGGCUGUUUUACAGCAUUGUUGACCAAAUUUACUCGUGUUCGAGAUUUUCCCCUUUUGGAGUCGGCGCUUUUUGUUCUCAUGUCGUACAGUACCUUUUUAAUAGCAGAGGCAUCAGAACUCACCGGCGUGGUUGCCGUCUUGUUCUGUGGAAUAUGCCAGGCGCAUUACACUUUCAACAACUUAUCCGAAAAUUCCCGAACACGAACUAAGGAAAUCUUUGAACUGUUAAACUUUUUGGCAGAGAAUUUUAUAUUUUCCUACAUAGGCGUUUCUAUGUUCACAUUUCCUAAACACCAUUUCGAUGCCGUUUUUAUUAUAACUGGAUUUAUAUGUGCGGCAAUUGGAAGAGCUGUAAAUAUUUAUCCUUUGUCGUGGUUAUUGAACUUAAAUAGAAAACCAAAAAUUUCUUCCAAUUUUCAACACAUGUUAUUCUUUGCCGGGCUACGCGGUGCUAUGUCUUUUGCAUUGGCUAUACGUAACACAUUAUCAGAGGCUAGACAGACGAUGUUGACGGCAACAUCUCUAAUUGUAAUUUUCACAGUUGUGAUCCAAGGUGGUGCUGCUAACUUUUUUCUUAACUGGCUUCAAAUACCAGUGGGAGUGGAUGAGGAAAUCGAACAGCUGAAUAAUCAUCAAGUUCGCAGUGUCUACAAUUCUAUGGAAAAUACAACAAAUAUGUCUGAAACUUAUUUGCAGGACUGUGGUGAUAUCGAUACAAACCCUGGAAGCAGCAGACGAAAUGAAAAAGCCGUACUUGCCAGGUUAUGGGGUAGUUUUGAUACCAAAUAUAUGAAACCACUGUUGACUCACUCGAGGCCUACUUUGUUGGAAACUUUGCCAGUUUGUUGUAAUCCCGUAGCUCGCCUUUUAACAACAACUGAGCAAUUAACCCAGGAUGGUGAUUUGCGUCGAACAGAUUCGGAUUCUGACAUUUGCAUAGAUGAUAGCGAUUUAAGUCGAAACCGAAGUGGAAGCGGUGGUGGCGGCUCUGGAGACCCGCGACGAAAUUCAAUCAAUCGUUCUAAUGUAUUGACUGAAACUAAUCAAAUAAUUGCUGAUCUCAGUGUGGUUACAAACAACUUUAUGUAAGGCAACAUAAUCGAUUGUAACAAGAAAAUAUGAAGAUUGACAAUCAUUUGCGCAGUUAUCAUUUGUAGCGAACCUGUUCCUUUUGUUUGUUCUAGUUUAGUUGUUUUUUAAUUGUCCUCGAAAAGGCUAUACUGCACACACGCUCUGCAAAAGGAGACAUAAUUGAGAAUUGAAACUACUUAGCUUCGUGAUCGAAAUCUCUUGGAAUGCUAUGGAAAUAAUGGAAAACGUUCAAAGUCCUGUAUCGACACGCAUUACACUUUUAGGCUUUUAUGGCAAGAAUUUAUAGAGUAGUGAUGGUGUCACUAAAUAUGAAUUGUAAUCCUUUAGAAAAUUUGGAAUUUGGAAAUGCCUACAUAACUAUCUAUGUAAGCAUGUGUGUCUGUAAAGUUAUACCCUAUUUAUAUAUGAUGCCAUAUAUUAUACAUACAUACUUGAUAAAUACUCAUAGAAAUAAUUUGUAUCUAUUUACAUAUGUAUACAGAUAUUAUUACAUAUUUCCGAUAAUAAAAUAUAUAUUAUAAAUUUUGAAUAAUUGUUAAAAGAUAAGAGUUUGAAAUUGAUGACUUCAAUUUGUUACUUAACUAACUUAAAAAUAUAUUGAAAUAUGCUGAAAUUUUUAUACGAAAUAUCAGAACAUGUGAAUGUUGAGAAACACACAUGCGAAAGACAUACUCGAAUGUAAUAGUAUGAGAUUAUAUCUGUGUGUGCAUAUUGUCACGUAAUAGCCUGUUUUGUGUCCUUAAAAUAUUUAUAUGAUUUUCUGCAAAUAUUGUUCAGUGCUAAUAGAAACAGUCUUAAUUGUUAUAUUCUAUUCUAAUUAUUUUGUAAGUGAUUUCACUUUUUGAAUGUGUAAUAAUGACGAUAUAAUAAUAAAGAUAUGGGUGAAUCAUACACAAAUCAAAUGUGUA